AUGGGAAUCCUCCCUUCCUCCCGUCGUCAGCUACUCCGGCCACGGCGGCCACUCCUCCUGCCGUUGGUCCUUCCGACCCCGGCAGCCACCUUCCCCCUCAGAUCUGGAGCGUGGUCUCGCUUCGUUCGACAUGGGUUCCAACCCCCGCUUGGUGACAUCCUCCUUCCGCCGAGACGGCGAGCGGCCGGUGGUUUCGGGCCUGUGACUGUCGUCGUGUUCGGAGGCGUCCGAGGCACAGGGGCCGGCGUUGCUGCCUCCCCCCCUGCGGCGGCCCCCGCGGAGGCUUGGAGGGCUCCUCCCCCUUCCAAGAAGGAACUGUGGCGUCAGCACCGGCGCCAGGAAGAGCAGGCGGGCUCUGCGGCGGCCAGGGAGCGCCACGAGAUCUCCCCGGAGAUGGUCGGCCUCUGCUUCCGUUGCAUCCUUCCUGGCCAUGUCUCCAAGGAUUGCAAGCGACCCAGGAGUCCGUCCCCGGAGGAGGAGCUCAGGCGCCUCACCGCGUCCAAGGUGGCACGUCGUGAGCCAGGGGGCGCAGGCGGUGCGCGCGGCCGCGGCAACGGCUCCCCCUGCUUCCGCCGCCACCGGCCGCCUCCUACGGUGCAUGCCGCCCCGGCGGCGUGGCCUAGGAUUGUGGCGUCCCGUCUGCAAAGCCCGCCGGCGGAGGAGCUCGCGCCUAACGACCUGUGCACCACGAGGCGCACCAUGGGGCUGGGAGAUCUCGAGCGGAGACUCCAGUUGGCCAUGGUGGCCUACGUUGGUGGCGCAAACAGAGGCAUCUCACCGGAGUUCGUGUUGGAGGCUUUGAGCGCUCAGCUCGACAUCGGUCCAGAGUGGCUGUCGGUUUACCCUUUCCGUCCAGAGGACUUCCUUGUGGUGUUCGGCAGGUCGGAGCACAGGAAUCUCAUGGCGAGCAAGCCUUCGAUCGACCACUUGGGGCGGCGCAUCUUCUUCAGACCAUGGAAUCGCCAGGCGCAAGCGGUGCAUUCGAGAUUCAGCUACAAAGUUUCCCUCGUGCUUGAAGGCAUCCCGCCGCACGCUUGGGACAGAGAGGUGGUGGAAGACCUGCUUGGCUGUUCUUGCAUGGUGGACAUGGUGGCGCCGGAGUCAAGCUCGCGUCGUGUUCUCUCUACUUUCAAGCUCACGACGUGGACGGCAGACCCCGAGGCCAUCCCGACGCUGUGGUGGCUGGCUAUCCCUGAGCCUGGAUUGUUCGUCCCGAUGGUGGAGCCGGCGCUGCUGCAAUACACAAGAUUCUCAUCCAUUUGGAAUCAGUGCCGACUUCGGCGAGAGGGAGGAGCCGUGGUUCUUGACGGGGGUGGUGUCCUCCGAUAG
rnacentral:rRNA from 1 species